rnacentral:rRNA from 1 species
UACAGGGGGGCGAGCGUUGUUCGGAAUUACUGGGCGUAAAGGGUGCGUAGGUGGCGCCGUAAGUCGGGUGUGAAAUUUCGGAGCUUAACUCCGAAACUGCAUUCGAUACUGCGGUGCUUGAGGACUGGAGAGGAGACUGGAAUUCAUGGUGUAGCAGUGAAAUGCGUAGAGAUCAGCAGGAAUACCCGUGGCGAAGGCGGCCCCUGGGCCGAACCUGACGCUGAGGCGCGAAGGCUAGGGGAGCGAACGGG